CUUGUGGACUGUUAUAUCAAAUGAGAGUAGACUUUGCAUUUCAAUGUGUGGAGACAAAAUCAGACAGGGUGAAGCAAGAA
rnacentral:ncRNA from 1 species